CAUUCCUUCAAAGGGGAGUAGCUGCAAGUGAUUUUUACUUGAACCAAAGUCGUCAUUACGUGGAUUAUUUCCACCGGCUUUGUUUGGCAUGAUACAUAAAUGUCUAGCAAGACCUUUGCCUCGUUCGUACACAAGGCAGGGGUCUUUUUUGUAUUCAUAAAGAUCCCUCAUUUU
rnacentral:sRNA from 2 species